AAUAGGUGAUAAACGACCAAGACCGAGAGUCACCGUCCCCAACUCGCCUGGCUGCCUGGAAGACGCCGGAGGGUAAACUAUUCGUUUCUUAUUUGGAAUCUGAUUUUUCCCUGGCACUUUCCAAGACUUGGGAGAUAAUUUAAAGAUAACUAAAUCUUAUCCUGAAAAUGUGAGUAGAGACUUUUUUAGAAUGUAUAUAAUUUGAUAUAAAAUAAGUAUAAAAAUAUAUAUUACUAUUGAAUAUCCUCUGUUAAACUAAAAUAAGAAGUCUAAUUCUAAUUCAGGUAUCAAAGCUAAUAAAAAGAAUAUAUAUAAUUAUAAUAAGAAUAAA
rnacentral:lncRNA from 1 species